rnacentral:lncRNA from 1 species
UCGGGUGAGUCAAAAACACUGAUGGAGCUGAUGUUCCUCUAACGGAAUUUCGGUGAAGUCCGGAUGGUCGACUUUCCAGGAUGCUCGGAGAACUGAUAAUCUCUCGAGGUCGCUGGGGUUGGGUCGAAUUUCGUGAUUGAUUUCGUGAUCUGCGCGAGUCAAAAACACUGAUGAAACCGAUAGUUCGUUUACAGAAGGAAUUUCAGUGAAGUCCGGAUGGUCAAUCUUCCUACACGUCCGGGGAGACGGGCAACGUUCUGGAUUCUUCCACGAACGGCUAAUAAGGCAAUGGUGUGUAGGGGUUGAAUUUCUCGCCAAUCACGUCAAAAACACUGAUGGAUCUGAUAUUCCGGUAACGGAAUUUCGGGGAAGUCCGGAUGGUCGACUUUCCAGGAUGCUCGGAGAACUGAUAAUCUCUCGAGGUCGCUGGGGUUGGGUCGAAUUUCGUGAUCUGCGCGAGUCAAAAACACUGAUGAAACCGAUGUUCGCUUACAGAAGGAAUUUCAGUGAAGUCCGGAUGGUCAAUCUUCCUACACGUCCGGGGAGACGGGCAACGUUCUGGAUUCUUCCACGAACGGCUAAUAAGGCAAUGGUGUAUAGGGGGUUGAAUUUCUUGGCGGGCACGGAAAUCACUCCGCCGUCUGGGGGGACGAAUGCCAUAGGAAUCGCAGUUCUGUGGUUCUUAUGACAUUCGUCUCUUCGGAUGGUGGGAUGAGGUUCGUGACUGCGCAAGUCAAAAAC